UUAGCCUCUUUCUCUCUCAACGCCCUCUCCUCUCGUCGUUGACCAGCUGAUCACUGUCCUCAUACUGCCAUCAUCUCUGCCAAUGGGGAGACGCCGCUGGGAACCUUGGAUGUCCUACAGACGGUUGGAGUCGUCGCCUCUCCAUAUCUGAGCUCGAUCCACUCUCCCUGCUAGAUCCUCCUGUACCAACUACUCACAAGAAGGAGAAGAGGGCAUGGUGGUCGUGGGGAGAGGAACAUGAGGCCAUGGGAGAAGAAGAAGAUGGCCCCAUGGUUCUAGAGGUUGGUCCUCGCGUCAACUGUGAUGGAUUUGCCGUGCGAUGACGAUGAAGGUGCUCGUUCUACUCGUCAGUUCCUCGCUCGAUCUGUGCCAGCCUGAUGCAUCUUCAUCCAGGGAUCUACAGGAGAUGUAUUUCUAAUGUCUAGGUGAACCGGUUUACAAUGCAGAGAUUGCAACAAGAAAUAACAAAGAACAAUGUGUGUAUGUGUGUCAAUUACCAUGGAUAAUGCUCAAUUCUUCUAUUUCCAAAUGGCCCUUCACAUCACAGGAAAGUUACAAUUAGUAAAAGUUAAGGUCAGACUUUGGAGAAGGGCAUUAGAGGAUUUGAGUAGAAGCUGGCGAGCGGUGUCCACAGAUUGUACAGCGACCAAGCGGCAGUGAAGAAUCAAUGUGUGGAUCUAUCAUUACCAUAUGGACUAGGUAUGCAAAGUUAUUCCUCUGGUAUGCUUUUGUCCAUACGACCUUUUAUGUUUCAUUCCUUUUGUAUUUCUGUCAACAAAAAAUGUAGAUCCGCAACUUAAUUGUCAUGAUGAUGUUGGAUGGCAUGGCAGUUGUCCAGUUCUAUUAUUUAAGAAGUCGAUGUGUGUAUAUCUAACAAAGAGAUAAUCACAAUAGACUUAAAAGCUUAGAAGUAGAGUUUAAAAGAAAAUUCAGAAGCAUUGGAGGCUCAUGCUUCUACUGUCAUGUUUUAUGUUCCAGUUAGGAGGCUGUUUCUAAAAUAGAGAUUAUUGAUUUUCACAUAUAUAACCUGUGCUCAUAGUAUCAUUCCUAUUUCAUUCUUUGUUUUCCAUUUUCUUCUCCCUCUAAAUUGUUGAGCUCCUAUUCAAAUUAGUAAUCUUUUCAACUAUUUUUAUAACUUCACAAGUUUCAGAAAUAAGAUGUUUGCUUUAUUGAGCUAAGGUGUUCUCUUUUUGACAGAGUAUUGUCCAAAGAUGUUGUAUAUCCUUAUUAUAGGGAUACAAGCUCAAUGAACUAUUCAUGUAGUUACCGAUUUUAGAUAGAUUUUGUUUCAGUUAUGAAGGUUUAGAGGGAUACAUGAAUGAUUUGGAGUUUCAGUUAUCAUUUGAGCUAAUUCCCCAUUCGUAUUCUUAACACUAAUCCAUCAUAUUAAUAUUAAUUAAUUAUGAUGCUGCCAUAUUCAUUUCUGCCCUUGGAGGGAGAUGAACAUACGGUGAUGCCAGCGCAGCACUUAAGGGCUUGGAGGCUAACUAGGCAAAAGAGGCCUAUUGUCAGCCACCAAAUUAUGAUGUUGAGCAGUGCCCGAGCGGAAGAUAGCAAGGUGGUUCUCAUAGGAUACGGAGUAAGCAGAGCUAGCGGCAGUGGACGCAGCUACCAUGGUGGUGGGCGCACUAGAGGCACAACACAUGGUGGAUAUCGAGGAUGUACUGCACGUCAAAGCAGUCGCCGCUCCAGGGAUAUCUGGUGUGUUUGCAUAUACAGGAAAUCUUCUUGCCACUGCACCUGUAGGCCUACUGGGGCUGCUUCUCUAGUUUUAGGUUUCUCAGUAUCUGCUUUAAGUCUUGGAUUGACAGAUGUUGGGUCAUCUCAUAUGGAUAAAUGGUAGGUCAAGGGCCUUUUAUCACUGAAGUAGUACCCAUACCUAUGAGUGGCGAUAGAGAUAAUUGAUAUUGGAGACUAUAUGAAUGUCAAGUGGAUAGUGAAAUGAUUUGUCAAUGCUGGUUUUACUUGAAGAUUAUGUAUUUAUUUCAAGUAAUAAUAACCUCCCUUAGUUCUUACUUGUUAUACUUGUAAUUCAGCAAUUAAGGGAUUAUGUUAUAUCUUCUGUGUCAAACAUUGGCUCGUGGUUAUUUUGUAAAAUAUGUAUAUGUGGCAUUCAUCUGAUUUUAUAUAACCGCCUUACUCUUAA